AUGAACUUCGUUCUUAUCAAAUAUUUUCAAUUGUUUAUAUCAUUCAUGAUUCCCCUCUCACUUUUAUGGAUUCUCCCUUAUUUCCAUGAAAUCUAUCUAUCUGCCUAUAUGUAUUUGUACUCUUUGGGAUCCCCGGAAAAUAUGUAUUUUUCCCAGCAUGGUUUAUAUUCCAACUUUAUUUUAUUUUUCAUUUUAUUUCAUAUAAUUGUCAAAUCAUGAAAUCAAAUAGGAAAUAUUUUGAACUCAACCUGAACCCCAGAACUUAUCCCAUUUCCUAUGACCUAGGCUUCCUUUCCCAAAAACAAAAGGAUAAUCUGCCACCGCUAAAUCCAAUCAAAUUCAAAUUGCAUGGACAAUAUAGGGCUUGAGUCGCCGAAUUCGGAGUUUGCUGACCUAAAGGUGAUUCGCCCCAAGGCAAACAUUGUCAUAUCUCACCCAAAGGAAAAACCAGGACACCUCAGGAAGGCGCCCUGCAGAGCCUGUCAAUAUGGCUCAUCACCACCCAUCUUUGCUUCCAUCUCUGACACCCCAAGGCAUAUCUAAAAUCUGUAUACGUGACAGAAACCCGGACACCCUUGAUUGCUGCCAUUAAUAAAUUAAGCACCCUUUAGAAAUCGGUCUAGCAGGACUUAAUCCGCUAGUUCCUGUCCCGUCACCUCAUUGUUUCAAUAACUCCCGCCUUCUCUUUCCUGAUUGGCCCGAGUAGAGACAAAAGGCAGCUUCCUAUUGGGCCAACGGAGCAAGGCGGGAAACGAAAGCCUGCCUCGUUCAACCUUCUAGCCUAUCAACGACCAGAUGGGCGGGGAAGCAGGGCGGGAAAUUCAAAGGGCUGUCAGACUGAAAUUUUGUAUAAAUAUGGCUUUAUUUUGAUUGUAUGGCACUGCUGGUAAGUCGAAUGAUCGCUACCAGAGUCCUCUUCAGCUGAAUUGCUCAAUAAAGACUCCUUGGCGGAUUUUCCUUCAACUUUGGCGGACCUUCUUCAUUUCGGCUUCAGGUUGUAUUGCGGCUCGUAAUUCUCCUUUUGGCUUCGCCAAGGUCCGUUCUCUCAGGACCGGAUCGGGUCUCUCCUUAAGGGCCCGAUCCCCUAAAACGCGGUCGACAACAGUGGGACUCCAUCGUAAAAUUAUAGAAGAUUUGGUGCAUACCACUGCUGCAGCAACACAAGAGGUUUCUCGUGUUGCCUUUGAGACAAUGAGGGGAAGCCAGGCCAUGGGAUGUGGAGGAAAGGUAGGUAACAAUAACAUCAGGCAAAUUCUUGCUUAUGUUUUAUAAUCUGAACAGGACUGUGCUUUAAUAAAUGCUACAACUGGGGAUGGGGGAGUUGUGCCAGGAUGUCGCCAUAGCUGUGAUGUGAAGGAAUGACCAGGAUCCCAGAAAUCAAGGGAAAGAACAACCUUAUCAGCUGGAUCAUGAUGAAUCCAGUGGUGUCCAUCGGAUUGUGUGGGCAUUGCUCCAUGCUUUGCAUCGCCCAAGUUACAUUUGGCCCCAUCCCAUGAGGGGGGGGGGGAUUCCCUCUCUUGAUCCAAUACAAUAUGGGAAUCCUCCCAUGUUGCCAUGGCAGCAGCCUGUGCCAGUUUGUGACUGUGCCUUGCUGAAAGUAGCUCUACAUGGUGGGAAGGGAGCUGAUGGGCUCCAUCGCAGAGUAUCAAUUGGCACAUGUCGCUGAAAAAUGCCCCGCCCGAUGAAGUCGUAAAUUGGCUCUCUCUCCUAUAGCUGAGUUACAAAUUUAUCAGAGGAGUUUGAGGGAGGGUAGAUAUUUGUAAUGAUAUUUCAGUAUUCCUUGUACAUCCUAUUCAGUCUUACACGUCAACUUUUGGACAGUUGAAAGUGUAAUAUUAAAGUGUUAUGUGCAGUAUCCGUUGCUCAACAGUCACUCUUGAUCUCAUAUGACUUUCAUUAUUAAAUGCCAAACUUAGUAUGAUUAAAUGCAAAUUCAAAUUCAAUGGGACUUUUCAACACAGAUAUUAUAUCCACCUUGCUACAGAUGUGGGAUGACUGCUUUCUCAUUACAAUAAAAAGAUGGCAAUGUCAAGAAGUAAAAAUAUAACUCCAAGUGAAUUGUUUUGGCAUUGAAGUGGUCUAUUUCAGCUUGAAUUCAUAGUCUGUCUGUGUAAUCGCUCUUCUCUGUUCUUAUUAAAAGCCAAUAAUUAGAUGUACUGACUGUUCAGACUUCAUCUACUUUAGAUGCUCAUGCUGUCUCUUUGACAAGCAGCCAUGGAGAAAAUCUUACAAAGCCCAAAACAGUUGUUCCUCCAAUACAUCCUUUAACCUCUUCAUGUGUGAUUUUUAAAGAAAUCAAUCUGCCUCUUUGACCAUAAGACAAGAUUAUUAAAACUGGCUGACUGGGAUCCUGCUAGUCAGUUACCAUGUCUAAGGACUUUAUCUCACUGAGGUCAAUAAGCCGGAUGGCAGUGGGCAAAUCUGACGGACAGUGAGAGGAACCAUUGCCCUGCUCCCUGCAUUGCCCACUGUGCCACUUUCCCCAUUACAUGGGAGAAUGCGUCUCCACCUGGCUUCCUGCCAUUCUUCUUAAGGAAAACAUGGAAAACCUCCCGUAUUCUCAGGAUAGCAUCCUAGCAUGCUGCCAGGAGAGUUCCUCUGAGGGGCCUUGCCAGAAGUAU
ensembl:lncRNA